AGUUUUGAGCUAAAUAUAUUUAUAAUAUUAGUUAUUUAUGAAGGUGUUGUAAAAUCUUUAUUUAAAAUUAUAUUUAGGGGUGAUAGGCCUUUCAAAAACUAAGAUAUCUUGAAUCUAAUUAAAAGUAUGUAGUACAAUUAACACAACUAUUAAGUGAUUAGGCUUUAUAGAAUUAUUAACUUAUAAGAUUUUACUUACUAUAAUUUAAUAAUUAAGUACAUAAAUAUAUUAAUAUUCAUAUAUUAUAGUUUAUAAAAGAGUAAUUAGAUAGAUUUAAGUUCAUAUUUCUUAUAAUAAUGUUAAUAUUAGUAUUAAGUUUAUAUUUAUAGGAUGAACUCGGCAAAAAUACUUCUCAACUGUUUAUCAAAAACAUAACUAUGUGAAUGAAUACAUAGCGGUUUCUGCUCAA
rnacentral:rRNA from 1 species